UACGUAGGGUGCGAGCGUGUCCGGAAUUAUUGGGCGUAAAGAGCUUGUAGGCGGUUUGUCGCGUCUGCCGUGAAAAUUCGAGGCUCAACCUCGAACUUGCGGUGGGUACGGGGCAGACUAGAGUGUGGUAGGGGAGACUGGAAUUCCUGGUGUAGCGGUGAAAUGCGCAGAUAUCAGGAGGAACACCGAUGGCGAAGGCAGGUCUCUGGGCCACUACUGACGCUGAGAAGCGAAAGCAUGGGGAGCGAACAGG
rnacentral:rRNA from 1 species